UCACUUAAACGCGGACUAACACACGAAAAUAGGAUUUCACAAAUCCCCCCUCUUCCUCUCUCGUCUGCCUUUUGAACUUCUUCUCUCCUCUCGUCUUCUCUUCCUCUCAAUCUUCUCAAUCACACCUCUUCUUCUCUCCUCUCUUCCUUUCUCGCUUGCCUUUUUCUUAGUUCUCAAUAUAAUUUUUUUUUCUAAAACUGAGUCCUCGUUCACGCUUUCCACUCUGCAGAUGGCUUGUUGAAAAAUCUCAGGCUUCAAUUUCUUCAUCUUCGUGUAGCUUUCGAUGAAAUCUGGACUUCACUGUGAACCAAAAUUUGAGUUUCCUAACGGAUGGCGGGCAUGUGAUCUCCCUUUUUUGUAUUUAAUGAGGUCGAGUCGGAGGUACAAUGGUAGUUUAGGGACAUCAGAGCCCGAAUUUGAUCAGGUUAGAGAAGUGGACAGGAUCAAUCUCAAGUUCGCCGAAGCGAGGGAAGAGAUUGGGUCAACUAUGGGGUCCGAAGAGACCGUAUAUUUUGAUUAAGAGGUCGAGUGUGCUCAAGAUGCUGUGAAAGAAAAUUUGAAAUAUACGAAAGGCUUCUGACGAAGUUUCUCGAGAGCGAAAUAAAGGCGUUGCAGAGGUAAAUGAGGCUUAGAUUAAAUAGCUAAAGGGUGAGCUUAAACACCUUGACGAGUAAUUGACGUCCAUGUAUUUCAUUCUCUUCUUCUCUAAUAAAUAACCAGAUUUUUACUCCACUAAAUAUUUUUAGAUUGAGGCUAAAAUGCUUUUAGAUUGCAACCCAUGUCUUGCUAAAUACUCCACUUUCGGUGGCCUUAAUUCUCCUCUCCAUUUUGCGGCUGCUAAAGGCCACAACGAGAUUAUAUCCUUGUUGCUUGAAAAUGGAGCUGAUGUGAAUUCCAGGAAUUACUGUGGCCAGACAGCAGUGAUGCAAGCUUGUCGAUAUGGGCGCUGGGAAGUUGUACAAACUCUUCUAGUUUUCAGAUGCAAUGUAAUGAGAGCAGACUACCUUAGCGGUCGGACUGCUCUUCAUUUUGCUGCUGUAAAUGGUCAUGUGAGAUGUCUAAGACUUAUUGUGGCGGACUUUGUUCCUAGUGUUCCUUGUGAUGCUAUUAAUAGUCAGACAGUUGUUAGCAGAAGCGAUGGUGUGAAUGUGAAGAACAGAUGCGUUCAAGGGUAUUAGGGAUCAAACUCAAAGCUUUUAGAAGACAAAUGCUACUAAGUGGUGCAUUUCUCUCUUUCUCAAAAUUAUUGAACAUUCAAAGUUAAUCGAGAUGCUUCACGAUCUUCAAGAACUCAAUUGGUGAGCAUAUUUGAAAAUAUACAAGUUGGGCAAUCUAAUCUGCAAGAUGGAUUUGUCACGAACAAAGGCGUGGUGACAUGAGAUGGUAGGCAACGAUUUUUAUUCAAAUUUCUUCAUGGCUCUAUUUUGGAAACAUAUAUUGAUUUUCUUUUCAAAGUUUUGAGUAUUUUAUUUUUUUUGCCUUAGUUCCUAUGAUUUCCUUGAAAUUCUAAGACAAAUAGUGUAUGUAGAUGCUUUAACUUGUUGUUUGACUAAUUUGUUCUCUUGUUGAUGUUUUUCAUAGAGUUUUUUAGCACUUGAGCUUUGGUGUUAUGUUUCUAAUUCAUAUUUCUCUGCAUGUUUCUAUCAUUAGAACUUUAGUGGAGAAAUUCAUAAUGAAAACAUGGAUAUAAGCCAAUUGAAAUCUUCUAUCAUAAAAAUCAAUUUAUUGCAGGUAUUGAUAUUAGACUUUUCGACUAUGAAGGUGUUUAGUUUUGGCACUUGUUUUCUUUCGAUUUUAUUAAUUGAGAAACAAUAUUUUAACUUGGAAGUUUUUGUUCCUUAUAUUUCUUACAAUUGAUAAUGCACAGUUCCCUAUCUUAGCCAGCUGUUAACCAUUGUUAAAGCCAUAGGAUUCUCACCCAAGAAUCCUAUGGCUUAUAUUUCUAGCAAGUUUGGGUUCUCAAUUUUUUUACUCUCUAUUACAUUAUGGCUUGUUUCUGGAUUUUUUUGUGUCAACAUUUUUGUAGUUGAUUUGAUGGUGGUUUCUUCAAGAUCUCAUCCUUUGUUGGUUAGAUCUACUUGGAAGUAAUUUUAGGCUUUUUCUUUCAGAACGUUAGUGUUCGUACUGCCUUUUCGUGUUGGAACUACUAUUUUUGCUUGAUUUCUGAUUGAAUUAUUCUUGAGGAGGUUGAAAUGGUGCUAAAAUUCAACUUUCUGUGGAUAUUCUUUGGGAAUAUGAGAUGGGUUUGCUUGGAUUAUUUGGUUUCUGCUAGUAAAGUGUUAGUAAAGUGUCUCCUGAAUGAAUUUUUUCCUUAUUGUUUGAGAAGCUCAACUCGGUUUGCAAUGCUUCUUUAAUUUAGCUUCAUUAAGUAGUUUUCUUUCUCAAGUCUGAUCAUAUUUGGUUUUGUUGAAAUAGGUGUCGUCUAUCUUUUAGCCUUUGUUUUAUUGUUUUGAGAAUCUUGCUUUUAGCCUUUGUUUCAUUGUUUUUAGAAUCUUGUUUUCAACUAGACUUAUCUGUAGUGCAACCUAGUAGAGUUUUCGGUCCCAAUCAUGGGCAUGUACAAGACAUAUAUGCAUAUGGUGGACAUACAUUUCCGAUAUGUUGAUCCCUGGAUAAAGUUCAACUAUGUAAGAAAAUUUAUUUACUACUUUGUGGAUUAAGUAUUCAUUUAGUUCAUUAGCUAAUCUAUUGUUAGAGUUAGAUCAUGAUGAUUUAUGAAAGUUAUUUUCUUUUAUUUUUUAUUAGGUGAUCGAUAGGACGACAAACAACGAAGCUACAUAUUUUUUGUGGGACAAUUUUGGUAUCGCUAUAAUCUAAACAUCUCUUUUGAUUGUAUCAACUUUUUGGGAUUAUAUAUGUAGUCAUUUUAUUUGGUUUAAGAUUUAUAACUUGUGCUAUUAGGUAAGAACUUUGUUAGAACAUACUUUUGAUGACUAUAUCAAACCUUUUGGAUGAA